CCUGAUCCAGCCAUGCCGCGUGAGUGAAGAAGGCCUUAGGGUUGUAAAGCUCUUUUGGCGGGGACGAUAAUGACGGUACCCGCAGAAUAAGCCCCGGCUAACUUCGUGCCAGCAGCCGCGGUAAUACGAAGGGGGCUAGCGUUGUUCGGAAUCACUGGGCGUAAAGCGUACGCAGGCGGAUUGAUAAGUCAGGGGUGAAAUCCCGGGGCUCAACCUCGGAAUUGCCUUUGAUACUGUCUGUCUUCGAGUUCGGGAGAGGUUGGCGGAAUUCCUAGUGUAGAGGUGAAAUUCGUAGAUAUUAGGAAGAACACCAGUGGCGAAGGCGGCCAACUGGCCCGAUACUGACGCUCAUGUACGAAAGCGUGGGGAGCAAACAGGAUUAGAUACCCUGGUAGUCCACGCUGUAAACUAUGGAUGCUAGCCGUUGGGGAGCUUGCUCUUCAGUGGCGCAGCUAACGUCUUAAGCAUCCCGCCUGGGGAGUACGGUCGCAGAUUAAAACUCAAAGGAAUUGACGG
rnacentral:rRNA from 1 species